GAUGAACGCUAGCGACAGGCCUAACACCUGCAAGUCGAGGGGCAGCACAGGUAGCAAUACUUGGUGGCGACCGGCGCACGGGUGAGUAACGCGUAUGCAACCUACCUGUAACAGGGGAAUAGCUCCCUGAAAGGGGAAUUAAAACCGCAUAAGACCACACUAUCGCAUGGUAGAGUGGUAAAAUAUUUAUAGGUUACAGAUGGGCAUGCGUGACAUUAGCCAGUUGGUGAGGUAACGGCUCACCAAAGCUACGAUGUCUAGGGGUUCUGAGAGGAAGGUCCCCCACACUGGUACUGAGACACGGACCAGACUCCUACGGGGGGCAGCAGUGAGGAAUAUUGGUCAAUGGGCGCAAGCCUGAACCAGCCAUGUCGCGUGCAGGACGACUGCCCUACGGGUUGUAAACUGCUUUUGUACGGGAAGAAAUAUAUCUACGAGUAGAUAUUUGCCGGUACCGUACGAAUAAGGAUCGGCUAACUCCGUGCCAGCAGCCGCGGUAAUACGGAGGAUCCGAGCGUUAUCCGGAUUUAUUGGGUUUAAAGGGUGCGUAGGCGGAAUGGUAAGUCAGUGGUGAAAUACUGCAGCUUAACUGUAGCAUUGCCAUUGAUACUGUCAUUCUUGAGUACAGUUGAGGUAGGCGGAAUGUGGUGUGUAGCGGUGAAAUGCUUAGAUAUACCACAGAACACCGAUUGCGAAGGCAGCUUACUAAACUGACACUGACGCUGAAGCACGAAAGCGUGGGGAUCAAACAGGAUUAGAUACCCUGGUAGUCCACGCCGUAAGCGAUGAUUACUGGUUGUUUGCGAUACACAGCCAAGUGACUGAGCGAAAGCAUUAAGUCAUCCACCUGGAGAGUACGUCGGCAACGAA
rnacentral:rRNA from 1 species